UGUGCUUAGACAUCGCUCGAAAGUCGACCC
rnacentral:sRNA from 1 species